rnacentral:rRNA from 1 species
UGCAGUCGAGCGGUAGCACAGAGAGCUUGCUCUCGGGUGACGAGCGGCGGACGGGUGAGUAAUGUCUGGGAAACUGCCUGAUGGAGGGGGAUAACUACUGGAAACGGUAGCUAAUACCGCAUAACGUCGCAAGACCAAAGUGGGGGACCUUCGGGCCUCAUGCCAUCAGAUGUGCCCAGAUGGGAUUAGCUAGUAGGUGGGGUAAUGGCUCACCUAGGCGACGAUCCCUAGCUGGUCUGAGAGGAUGACCAGCCACACUGGAACUGAGACACGGUCCAGACUCCUACGGGAGGCAGCAGUGGGGAAUAUUGCACAAUGGGCGCAAGCCUGAUGCAGCCAUGCCGCGUGUAUGAAGAAGGCCUUCGGGUUGUAAAGUACUUUCAGCGAGGAGGAAGGCGUUAAGGUUAAUAACCUUAGCGAUUGACGUUACUCGCAGAAGAAGCACCGGCUAACUCCGUGCCAGCAGCCGCGGUAAUACGGAGGGUGCAAGCGUUAAUCGGAAUUACUGGGCGUAAAGCGCACGCAGGCGGUCUGUCAAGUCGGAUGU